GAGGAAUAUUGGUCAAUGGGCGCAAGCCUGAACCAGCCAUCCCGCGUGCAGGAAGACGGCCCUAUGGGUUGUAAACUGCUUUUCCAGGGAGAGAAACUUGCGCACGUGUUGCGCAAUUGACGGUACCCUGGGAAUAAGCAUCGGCUAACUCCGUGCCAGCAGCCGCGGUAAUACGGAGGAUGCGAGCGUUAUCCGGAUUCAUUGGGUUUAAAGGGUGCGUAGGCGGACUAUUAAGUCAGUGGUGAAAUCCUGCAGCUUAACUGCAGAACUGCCAUUGAUACUGAUAGCCUUGAGUUUGGUUAAGGUAGGCGGAAUGUGUAAUGUAGCGGUGAAAUGCUUAGAUAUUACACAGAACACCAAUUGCGUAGGCAGCUUACUGAGCCGACACUGACGCUGAGGCACGAAAGCGUGGGGAUCGAAC
rnacentral:rRNA from 1 species